rnacentral:rRNA from 1 species
UACGUAGGGGCCGAGCGUUGUCCGGAGUUAUUGGGCGUAAAGCGCGCGCAGGCGGCUUCGCGCGCCCGACGUGAAAGCCCCCGGCUUAACCGGGGAGAGUCGUUGGGGACGGCGGAGCUUGAGGGCGGGAGAGGUCGGUGGAAUUCCCGGUGUAGUGGUGAAAUGCGUAGAGAUCGGGAGGAACACCUGUGGCGAAGGCGGUCUGCUGGGCAGUUUCUGACACUGAGGCGCGACAGCGUGGGGAGCAAACAGG